GAUGAACGCUGGCGGCGUGCCUAAUACAUGCAAGUCGAGCGAACGGACGAGAAGCUUGCUUCUCUGAUGUUAGCGGCGGACGGGUGAGUAACACGUGGAUAACCUACCUAUAAGACUGGGAUAACUUCGGGAAACCGGAGCUAAUACCGGAUAAUAUUUUGAACCGCAUGGUUCAAAAGUGAAAGACGGUCUUGCUGUCACUUAUAGAUGGAUCCGCGCUGCAUUAGCUAGUUGGUAAGGUAACGGCUUACCAAGGCAACGAUGCAUAGCCGACCUGAGAGGGUGAUCGGCCACACUGGAACUGAGACACGGUCCAGACUCCUACGGGAGGCAGCAGUAGGGAAUCUUCCGCAAUGGGCGAAAGCCUGACGGAGCAACGCCGCGUGAGUGAUGAAGGUCUUCGGAUCGUAAAACUCUGUUAUUAGGGAAGAACAUAUGUGUAAGUAACUGUGCACAUCUUGACGGUACCUAAUCAGAAAGCCACGGCUAACUACGUGCCAGCAGCCGCGGUAAUACGUAGGUGGCAAGCGUUAUCCGGAAUUAUUGGGCGUAAAGCGCGCGUAGGCGGUUUUUUAAGUCUGAUGUGAAAGCCCGCGGCUCAACCGUGGAGGGUCAUUGGAAACUGGAAAACUUGAGUGCAGAAGAGGAAAGUGGAAUUCCAUGUGUAGCGGUGAAAUGCGCAGAGAUAUGGAGGAACACCAGUGGCGAAGGCGACUUUCUGGUCUGUAACUGACGCUGAUGUGCGAAAGCGUGGGGAUCAAACAGGAUUAGAUACCCUGGUAGUCCACGCCGUAAACGAUGAGUGCUAAGUGUUAGGGGGUUUCCGCCCCUUAGUGCUGCAGCUAACGCAUUAAGCACUCCGCCUGGGGAGUACGACCGCAAGGUUGAAACUCAAAGGAAUUGACGGGGACCCGCACAAGCGGUGGAGCAUGUGGUUUAAUUCGAAGCAACGCGAAGAACCUUACCAAAUCUUGACAUCCUUUGACAACUCUAGAGAUAGAGCUUUCCCCUUCGGGGGACAAAGUGACAGGUGGUGCAUGGUUGUCGUCAGCUCGUGUCGUGAGAUGUUGGGUUAAGUCCCGCAACGAGCGCAACCCUUAAGCUUAGUUGCCAUCAUUAAGUUGGGCACUCUAAGUUGACUGCCGGUGACAAACCGGAGGAAGGUGGGGAUGACGUCAAAUCAUCAUGCCCCUUAUGAUUUGGGCUACACACGUGCUACAAUGGACAAUACAAAGGGCAGCGAAACCGUGAGGUCAAGCAAAUCCCAUAAAGUUGUUCUCAGUUCGGAUUGUAGUCUGCAACUCGACUACAUGAAGCUGGAAUCGCUAGUAAUCGUAGACCAGCAUGCUACGGUGAAUACGUUCCCGGGUCU
rnacentral:rRNA from 1 species